AUUGAACGCUGGCGGCAUGCCUUACACAUGCAAGUCGAACGGUAACGGGCCUUCGGGUGCCGACGAGUGGCGAACGGGUGAGUAAUGUAUCGGAACGUACCUUUCAGUGGGGGAUAACGUAGCGAAAGUUACGCUAAUACCGCAUAUUCUGUGAGCAGGAAAGCAGGGGAUCGCAAGACCUUGCGCUGAUUGAGCGGCCGAUAUCAGAUUAGCUAGGUGGUGAGGUAAAGGCCAACCAAGGCGACGAUCUGUAGCGGGUCUGAGAGGAUGAUCCGCCGCGCUGGAACGGAGACACGGUCCAGACUCCGACGGGAGGCAGCAGGGGGGAAUUGUGGACAAUGGGGGCAACCCUGAGCCAGCCAGGCCGCGUGAGUGAAGAAGGCCUUCGGGUUGUAAAGCUCUUUCGGCCGGGAAGAAAUCGUAUCAGCUAAUACCUGGUGCGGAUGACGGUACCGGCAUAAGAAGCACCGGCUAACUACGUGCCAGCCGCCGCCGUAACAC
rnacentral:rRNA from 1 species